GAGCCAAGGUAUCAUAUACACCGCCAAAAUAAAGAGCCUUGAGUACUAGAAGAAAAGCACCUAGACCUAACAAAAUUAAGUGAAUACCCAAAAUUGUAGUCAUUUUAUUUCUAUCUUUCCA
rnacentral:antisense_RNA from 2 species